UUUUGAGUGCAUUCACAACAAGCCACCUGCACACAACUUACAAAAUGCAAAAGUGCAUUUGAGGGUUCGUUUUUCUGAUGAAAAUAGUUAUUUGAUGCAUGGCCUACUAUUUCUAACUGGAAAAAUACAUUCCUAUGUCUUUUGUGAGUAAAAUCCUUUUUCCAAAAUUGAUUUAGGUACAUUUUUGUGACGAGGUAUGAGGGUUGUGAUAUGGGUCAUUUAAUAGUACAAUCAUUUAAGGGAUCAAUACAUUUCUAUGUUGCUUCCCCAGUAUCUGCAUGAACCAUCAGGCCAAGUGUUUUUGGUUGACCCUGCUGGACAGAAAGAGGAGGAGGAAUCGGAACACGCUGCAUUCAAAUUCAGAGUUCAACAAAGCCAAUAACUGCUUCAUGUGUGCCACUGAUAAAGAACCUGGAUGUGGCCCAAAGACUGACUGGAUCUGUUGGGAGCUGUGAAUGCUGAAGUCAAUACACUGACAGGGAGAGAGAGGCAGUCUGUCACUCUACACACUGGACUAACUGGACUACAGGCUGACAAUAUAUUUUGGUUCUUUGGUCCCUUCAUUCCAAACACCUCAAUAGUUGAGAGUCAGGUCAUCAGAGGAGAGAACAUCACAGAAUUCAAAGGAAGAUUCCGAGAAAAACUGCAGCUGGACAGAGAAACUGGAUCUCUCACCAUCAGAAAUCUCACCCUCAACAACUCUGGAGUUUAAUCAGCUAGAUUUUUGUGUGAUUAAUCUACACAAAAUACUCCAUAAUGUCAAAGUGAAAAGAAAACUAUAAAAAAUGUUCAACCCCUUUGUUAGAAGCCUAAAAUAGUUCAGGAUUAAGAUUGGCCUAACAAAUCACAUACUCUGUGUGAAAUAAUAUAAUAAUAUGAUUUUUGAAUGACUACCCCUUCCUGUGUACCUGAUAGGCUACAUACAACAUCUGAAGGUCCUUCAGUUGAGUAGUGAAUUUGAAGCACAGAUUCAACAACAAAGACCAGGGAGAUGUUCCAGUGCCUCAUUAAAUCCAUUCCAUUUUGUAGAACAAUAAAAUAGUUAUUAUAGGCACUAUAUUAUUAUUAUAUAAGAGGCUAUAUUAUAAUGCUAGCCAAGUUGUUGCAGUUUUUUUCAAUCACUUUGGCACAUUUUUCAGAUGUAAGGUAUAUUUUCAAAACUCUUGGUACAACACUUGUAAUGCCCCCUGUCUCAUAUUCAGAACCUUUGAAUUAGGAUUAAUUUAAGGUCAAAACAUCUUUCACCCCUGAGUCAUUAAUGAAAAAUGUUUUCUUCAGAAAAUAACAUGAACAUUUAAUUUAGUCACCAAUACUGAGAAUGAUACAGGCUCACCAUUUAGUAAUUUUAACGUAACAUUUAACCUAAUAACACAAAAUACAUGAUACAAUUUUCAAAGCGGAUAUUUUUGAAGUGCUGAAUAGAAUAAACAAUAGAGGAUAAAUAACAUUUUCCAUACAGUUUUAUCAAACGUUGGAGCAUGUUGAGAUGUUUUCUUUUACUUACAGAAACAGUUUCUUUAUACAGUACAAACGAAGAAGAAAUCAUCAGAUAUAGGAUUAUUGUGGCAUGUAUUGUGAAAACAGAAGCCAACAGUAAAAGGAAUUGAUGUAGUUUCUGCCCAAAACUGUAUGUCUGUACUGUAUGUCGUUUCUGCCCAAAACAACAUUACACAAUAUAUACUUUUAUGUGACGUGUUACUGUAACUGCUAAAGUAUCAUCACCAUAAAUCAUCAGAUUAAAGUGUAUAAAUUAAAAUCUGAUAUUUACAACACAAUUGUAGCGAUUGCUAUUAUGUCCUCAGUCACCUAAUCUGAAGCCGAAUUAUGAAUAGGCCUAACCAGACAUUGAGAAUGUAAACCGUUUAUGCGAAUCACAUGCAUGUUCUUGAAAUAAUUUGGGGUUACGAUGUGAUGUUUUUUGAUCACCUGUCAAAUAAAAUAACCAUGUUUAGAGUUUGUGGUCGAACGCAGACACUUGGAUUGUGCGCGCAAAACCUCUUGUGCGUUGCUCGGUAGCCUAAAAUGCUUAGUCUAAUCAUGUAUUUAGUUUAGGCUUACUUAUCGAAAUUUACAACUACAAUGUUAUCAUAUAUAACAAUUAAAACGUGAAGGUAUAUCAAAACUAAUAUUAAACGAUUACCUUGAUAAUUGUUCAUUUCCUGGUACGAGUUUUGACUGUCAAACAGUUCGAGCUCAUAGUUUAUUCAGUGUAGCCUACGGGUAUAAAGGAAAUAGUUUAUCCCAGAGGAGGCAGGAGCUAUAUGAUAAUGUUUUGGGGAUUAUGCUGUUUGUUAUUUUUGUUUGUAUGUAGUGUUCAGUCACCGGCAUAAUUUGUCACUUUCUAAAUUAAAAGUCUCACUCUGGCAAGAAAAACUA